GGCGCUGCCUGGACCAAUCGCUUGGCAGCGCAUCUGAACUUGUUGUGAUUGCUAGGGCGACCCGCUCUGGGAGGGAGCCCCAGGCAUUCCCGAUUACGCUGCGACCUCUAAAGGCAGUGGGACAGAGGGUUAGCCGUUAGCAGGGCUGGGGCGCCCGUGGGCUGCCGCUAGGGCUGUGAGCCCGGGGUUAGGGUUUUGGCCACGUUGCCGCUCAGGGUGCCCAGCCCUGGGGCCUCAGGGCUGAGUUUGACCGACCUGGACGCCGGCUUCUGUGCGGAGUUCCUCCUUUCGUUCAAGCAUUGACCGAGCGCCUUUUUCUAUUUAUCUUCUGACACUGAGUCUCGCUCUGUCGCCCAGGCUGGAGUGCAGUGGCACGAUCUCGGCUCGCUGCAACCUCCGCCUCCCGGGUUCAAGCCAUUCUCCUCCCUAAGCCUCCCGCAUAGCUGAGAUUACAGGCGCCCGCCCCCGCGCCCGGCUAAUUUUUGUAUUUUUGGUAGAGACGGGCUUUCACCAUGUUGGCCAGGUUGGUCUCGAACUCCCGACCUCGUGAGCCGUCCGCCUCGGCUUCCCAAAGUUCUGGGAUUACAGGCGUGAGCCACUGCGCCCGGCGAGGGCCAAUUUCUAUAUCGUGGAACAUUAAGUGAACUUGUCUGCCUUUCCAAACUUUGGCGCCACUAGCAAGAUGCAGUUUCACUCCUGUUGCCUAGGCUGGAGUGCAAUGGUGCAACCUUGGCUCACUGCAACCUCCACAUCCGAGGUUCAAGCGAUUCUCCUGCCUCAGCCUCCUGAAUAGCUAGGAUCACAGGCAUGUGCCACCACACCCGGCUAAUUUUUGUGUUUUUAGUAGAGACAGGGUUUUACCAUGUUGGCCAGGCUGGUCUCAAACUCCCGACUUCAGAUGAUCUGCCCACCUCAGUCUCCCAAAGUGCUGGGAUUACAGGUGUGAGCCACUGUGCUGGCCUGUUUUUUUUUUUUUUUUUUUGAGACAAGGUCUUGCUCUGUCACCCUGGCUGGAGUGCAGUGGCACAGUCAUGGCUCACUGCAGCCUCAACCUCCUGGACUGCAGCAAUCUGCCUGCCUCAACCUCCAUAAGUGCUGGGAUUACAGACAUGAGCUACCAAGCCUAGUACCAUAGAAUCUAAACCAUCUCUAGAUUAUUUAUCAUGCUUAAUACAAUACAAAUGCUAUGCAAAUAGCUAUUACACUGUAUUGUUUCUUGUUUUUUGAUAGGAUCUCACUCUGUUGCCCAGGCUGAAGUGCAGUGGUGUGAUCUUGGCUCAUGACAUCCUUGACCUCCUGGGCUCAAGUGAUCCUCUUGUCUCAGCCUCUCAAGUAGCUGGGACUACAGAUGCGUGUCACCAUGUCUGGCUAAUUUUCUUUAUUUAUUUUGUAGAGAUGGGGUCUUGCAAUUUUACCCAGGCUGGUCUCGAAUGCUUGGGCUCAAAUGACCUGCCCACCUUGGCCUCCCGAAGUGCUGGGUUAUAGGGCAUGAGCCACUGUGAGAGCCUACACUGUAUUUUUUUUUUUUUCUUGAGAUGAAGUUUUGCUUUUGUUGCCCAGGCUGGAGCGCAAUGGCAUGAUCUUGGCUCACUGUAACCUCUGCCUCCUGGGUUCAAGUGAUUCUCCUGCCUCAGCCUCCUGAAUAGCUGGGAUUACUGCCACCACGCUUGGCUAAUUUUUUUUUUUUUUGAGACAGAGUCAGCUCUGUCGCCCAGGCUGGAGUGCAGUGACGCGAUCUCGGCUCACUGCAAGCUCUGCCUCCCGGGUUCACGCCAUUCUCCCGCCUCAGCCUCCUGAGUAGCUGGGACUACAGGCUCCCGCCACCACGCCUGGCUAAUUUUUUGUAAUUUUUAGUAGAGACAGGGUUUCACCAUGUUAGCCGGGAUGGUCUCGAUCUCCUAACCUUGUGAUCUGCCCGCCUUGGCCUCCCAAAGUGCUGGGAUUACAGGCGUGAGGCACUGCGCCCGGCCACUGUAUUGUUUUUUACUUGUACUAUUUUUUAUUCUUGUAUUUUUAUUUUUUUCAAAUAUUUCCAAUCUGUGGUUGGUUGAAUCUGUGGACAUGGAACCCCCAUGGAUAUGAAGGGCUGACUGUAUGCUAGUCUGUCUUCUGGAGAUGUUUGCAAUUUUCCAUAGCAAAUCUAAAGAGUGAAGUAUGUAUGAUCCUGCAGUGGAUCCAUCAUUACACAUUUUUGUCCAAACCCAUCGAAUGUCCAACAGCAGAGUGAAGCCUCAUGUGAGCACCAAUGCUGGUUCAUUGACAGCAACAGAUGGGACGCUGGAGGCUGGCAGGGGGCACACAGGAACUCUGACCUUUCCACUCAGUUUUGCUGUGAACCUAAAAUGGUUCUAAGAAAGAACAUUUACAAAAAAAAAAAAAAAAAAAAA
ensembl:lncRNA